rnacentral:lncRNA from 1 species
CAUUUGACAGUGGCGUAGCCAGGGUUGAAAUGAUGUGGAUGUUUUGCCGAGCGGAGCGAGGCGAAAUUUUUUUUGGACCUUUUUAUGCAGAAAAUUAAGCACAUGUACUCCCCCAGAAUCCGACACUAGUUAGAUUUUUGUUUAAAUUCAAAAUACCCACCAAUACAUAUAUUUAUAUUUUCAACCAAAUUUUAUUGUUUCCUCGAAACUAUCAUCGUUCAAUUCAUAAAUAUUAAUUUGAUGUAAAGUUUCCCACCCAAUCUUAUAUUUGACAUAUCAAAAAACGGACCUCAUUACAGCGGCACUUCUGUAGAAUUUUGGAACUUCGGAAUAUAGGAACUGAAGUGACUUCUCUUUCCAGGAAUUUGAGUCUUCAACCUUGGGUUUUUGAUUUUUGAUUACCAUGAUUAUUGAACAAAACGCGUUGCAGGAG